AUCCAGCGGUCGAGUCGCAAAUAUGACGAAAUGCGCAUCCUGGAU
rnacentral:hammerhead_ribozyme from 1 species